rnacentral:rRNA from 1 species
AUUGAACGCUGGCGGCAUGAUUUACACAUGCAAGUCGAACGGUAACAGGCCGCAAGGUGCUGACGAGUGGCGAACGGGUGAGUAAUGCAUCGGAACGUGCCCAGUCGUGGGGGAUAACUACUCGAAAGAGUAGCUAAUACCGCAUACGAUCUAUGGAUGAAAGCGGGGGACCGUAAGGCCUCGCGCGAUUGGAGCGGCCGAUGUCAGAUUAGGUAGUUGGUGGGGUAAAGGCUCACCAAGCCAACGAUCUGUAGCUGGUCUGAGAGGACGACCAGCCACACUGGGACUGAGACACGGCCCAGACUCCUACGGGAGGCAGCAGUGGGGAAUUUUGGACAAUGGGCGCAAGCCUGAUCCAGCAAUGCCGCGUGCAGGAAGAAGGCCUUCGGGUUGUAAACUGCUUUUGUACGGAAAGAAACGGCUCUGGUUAAUACCCGGGGCUAAUGACGGUACCGUAAGAAUAAGCACCGGCUAACUACGUG